CCUACGGGUGGCAGCAGUAAGGAAUAUUGGACAAUGGGCGGAAGCCUGAUCCAGCCAUGCCGCGUGAAGGACGAAGGCGCUCAGCGUUGUAAACUUCUUUUGGAUGGGAACAACAACUUCGACUUGUCGGAGCCUGAGGGUACCAUCAGAAUAAGCACCGGCUAACUCCGUGCCAGCAGCCGCGGUAAUACGGAGGGUGCGAGCGUUAUCCGGAAUCACUGGGUUUAAAGGGUGCGCAGGCGGUCUGAUAAGUCAGUCGUGAAAUCGCUGGGCUC
rnacentral:rRNA from 1 species